rnacentral:lncRNA from 1 species
AUCUUGGUGUAUGUGCCGAUAUAGUAGCCCAUAUUAGUGUUGGGGGGAUCUUACCAUUGGCUGCAGGGAUCCCAGCUUAUAUUUCCUCUUUUCCCUCAGGGUCCAACUGAGCCCAGGAGCUGCGCGGAAUGGUGGCAGUCACCUUGCCGGUGCAGUGGGCAUGGACCAGACUGCAAGCUAGAGGGACAAGACAUCAGACAGGAAAAGAGGACACACGCCCAGGCUUGAGGCUUCUUCAUCGGGAUGUCCCCAGGCCUCCCAGCCCAGGCCCAGCAUAAAGGCCGUGUGGGGGGGCCCCCCUGACCCAAGGGGGGCUUCAUGCGCCACGUGCAGGCGGAGCUGUCUCCAUCCUCAGAGCCAGAGGCUGGCCCUUCACAGCCUCCAGUCACACAGGGGACCCUCCAGGGUGGCCUGCUCAUGGGCUACAGCCCAGCAGGGGGGGCAACAU